CCUACGGGUGGCAGCAGUGAGGAAUAUUGGUCAAUGGACGCAAGUCUGAACCAGCCAUGCCGCGUGCAGGAAGACGGCUCUAUGAGUUGUAAACUGCUUUUGUACGAGGGUAAACGCAGAUACGCGUAUCUGUCUGAAAGUAUCGUACGAAUAAGGAUCGGCUAACUCCGUGCAAGCAGCCGCGGUAAUACGGAGGAUUCAAGCGUUGUCCGGAUUUAUUGGGUGUAAAGGGUGCGUAGGCGGUCGUAUAAGUUAGAGGUGAAAUCCCGAGGUUCAACUUCGGAAUUGCCUCUGAUACUGUUCGGCUAGAGAGUAGUUGCGGGAGGCGGAAUGUAUGGUGUAGCGGUGAAAUGCUUAGAGAUCAUACAGAACACCGAUGGCGAAGGCAGCUUACCAAGCUACUUCUGACGUUGAGGCACGAAGGCGUGGGGAGCGAACAGGAUUAGAUACCCCGGUAGUC
rnacentral:rRNA from 1 species